rnacentral:rRNA from 1 species
AAUCAACGCUGGCGGCGUGCCUCAGACAUGCAAGUCGAACGAUUAAAGCUCUCUUCGGAGAGUGUAUAGAGUGGCGCACGGGUGAGUAACACGUAAGUAAUCUACCCUCGAGUGGGGAAUAACAACCGGAAACGGUUGCUAAUACCGCAUAAUGCAGCGGCACCGCAAGGUGACAGUUGUUAAAGAUUUAUCGCUUGAGGAGGAGCUUGCGGCAGAUUAGCUAGUUGGUGAGGUAAAGGCUCACCAAGGCGACGAUCUGUAGCGGGUCUGAGAGGAUGAUCCGCCACACUGGAACUGAGACACGGUCCAGACUCCUACGGGAGGCAGCAGUGGGGAAUUUUGGACAAUGGGCGCAAGCCUGAUCCAGCCAUGCCGCGUGAGUGAAGAAGGCC